GAUCAACGUUCAGCAAGUGAUUUCCAGGUGUGCCAGCUACUGUCAGCCAAAGCACAGUGCUCUGGGAUUCAAACAGCACUGAAGAGUCGACCUGCAGGGUGCCACAGCAUCUGCAGCUGCCUCAGGGCACUUUGGUGGGAACCCUUCAAAACUUUCAAUUCAGAACAGCACCUAUGUCAUAAGCACUUCAUAAAGUCCCGAUUAAAUUGCCCCAUUCUGUGGGACACAGCUACAGCCUUGAAGGUCGUGCUGCUGCUGUUGUGCGUCUGAGUCCCAGCGCUGGAAAUGAAAAGGUUCAGAGAAUCCUGACACCAAGGAGAGGCACAAAGCUGCACUCUGCUCAUGACAGCUUCUCUUUACACCACAGCUUUUCCUCUGAGCAUGUUCCAGUGUCUCUGCACUCCCAGUCCACCUGCAGCAGCCAGGGCCAGGCUCUCGUAGCCUGGCUCUCCUGCUGGGAGCUUCUCAGAGCACGAGCCGCCUCCUUUCCAGCAGAUCGCAGGUGUUCUCCACAUGGCGUGAGCAGGUGAGAGCACGGCUUUGCCAAACCAUGAUGGAGUUUGGUAGCUGAAACACAAAAUCCACGUUUGGCCUGAGAUCUGAAUCUGGCUCUCUGCUCCAUCCUCCGCUCUGAGCCAAAUCAAACUGCAGCACAUCAUGAAAACCAAA